rnacentral:rRNA from 1 species
GCCCUUCAGGCAUAACACAUGCAAGUCGAGCGAACCUUCGGGUUAGCGGCGGACGGGUGAGUAACGCGUGGGAAUAUGCCCUUUGGUACGGAAUAGCCUCUGGAAACGGAGAGUAAUACCGUAUGUGCCCUUCGGGGGAAAGAUUUAUCGCCAAAGGAUUAGCCCGCGUUGGAUUAGGUAGUUGGUGGGGUAAUGGCCUACCAAGCCUACGAUCCAUAGCUGGUUUGAGAGGAUGAUCAGCCACACUGGGACUGAGACACGGCCCANACUCNUACGGGAGGCAGCAGUGUGGAAUUUUAGACAAUGGGGGCAACCCUGAUCUAGCCAUGCCGCGUGAGUGAUGAAGGCCUUANGGUUGUAAAGCUCUUUCAGCUUGGGAAGAUAAUGACCGGUACCAGCAGAAGAAGCCCCGGCUAACUCCGUGCCAGCAGCCGCGGGUAAUAAGGCCGAAUUU